rnacentral:rRNA from 1 species
AUGCCUUCUCGCCCCGCCCCGCUCGUCCACCGCCUCCGCCUGCUGAGGAGCGCCGUCGUCUGCUCUUCCUCCGCGCUGCUGCCGUGCAGCCGCCCGCGCCUCGCCAUCCCCUUCGCGCAGCCGCCGCUCCGCGGCCCCGCCUUCGCCGCCGCCUCGUCGCCGUUGCUCCGCUCGGUCGGCGCCAGAUUCUCGCUGUUCAGCAGCAUGGCCGCCGCCGCCUCCUCUGCCUCCUCCAUCCACGACUUCACCGUCAAGGAUGCAAGUGGAAAAGAUGUCGACCUGAGCACCUACAAGGGGAAGGUUCUCCUCAUUGUCAAUGUUGCAUCCCAGUGUGGCUUGACCAAUUCCAACUACACGGAACUCGCUCAGUUGUAUGAGAAGUACAAGGACCAGGGUUUUGAGAUCCUUGCUUUCCCAUGCAACCAGUUUGGUGGGCAGGAGCCUGGCACUAACGAGGAAAUUGUUCAGUUUGCUUGCACUCGCUUCAAGGCCGAGUAUCCAAUUUUUGACAAGGUUGAUGUCAAUGGUGACAAUGUUGCACCUGUCUACAAGUUUCUGAAGUCCAGCAAAGGCAGUCUCUUCGGAGACAACAUCAAGUGGAACUUCUCCAAGUUCUUGGUGGACAAGGAGGGGCGUGUUGUGGAUCGCUACGCGCCAACCACCUCCCCCCUCAGCAUCGAGAAGGACAUCAAGAAGCUGCUCGCGAGUUCUUAA